rnacentral:rRNA from 1 species
CCUACGGUGUGCAGCAGUGGGGAAUAUUGCACCAUGGGGGAAACCCUGAUGCAGCGACGCCGCGUGAGCGAUGAAGUAUUUCGGUAUGUAAAGCUCUAUCAGCAGGGAAGAAAAUGACGGUACCUGACUAAGAAGCCCCGGCUAACUACGUGCCAGCAGCCGCGGUAAUACGUAGGGGGCAAGCGUUAUCCGGAUUUACUGGGUGUAAAGGGAGCGUAGACGGCUGUGCAAGCCAGAUGUGAAAGCCCGGGGCUCAACCCCGGGACUGCAUUUGGAACUGUGUGGCUGGAGUGUCGGAGAGGCAGGCGGAAUUCCGAGUGUAGCGGGGAAAUGCGUAGAUAUUAGGAGGAACACCAGUGGCGAAGGCGGCCUGCUGGACGAUGACUGACGUUGAGGCUCGAAAGCGUGGGGAGCAAACAGGAUUAGAUACCCUGGUAGUC